AGAGAUGAGCAAAUUUGUAAAUUUAUUUAUUAGAAAUGUUGUCUUUUAAAAAGCAAAUAAUCUAAUUCUUUCUUAUUGCCCGGAUUGAUGGCUUAGGUUUCAUGUUUGAGAAAAAGCUGAGCCCUUUUCAUAAAAGAAGCACAUUCUAAUUAAAAAGGAAGGAAAAUGGUGGAGCAUUUUCAAGCUACAGUGGAGAUGUUGCCUGCUCAGAGUUAAACCUCCAAAUUAUACUACUAAAUGGCAUUAGUAGUAUAAUUCUAAGACACAGUAUAUUGAAAUCACCAGUUGCCAAUAGUUCUGAGCUUCUCAACAUCAUAUUUAGUUCUUGCCUUCAAAAUAUCCCCUAAUCAACAGCACUGACAGUGUCCAUCAGUGCUGUUCUGAUAAAACAGUGAGUUCAAAUACCUAAAAACUCCCCACAUGCCAAUGAAACAGGUGAAUUUCUACAAUCUCUUCACAAAACAAACACAGCUUAUAUAAACAUCAAGACAGUGAAUUCAAUAUAUAUUGUCUCACAAAAAUUAUUCUUGUAAGAUUCUAACCUAAAAAAAGAAUAGUAUAUAUAUGAGCCCCAUUGUAUGUNNNNNNNNNNNNNNNNNNNNNNNNNNNNNNNNNNNNNNNNNNNNNAUACAAAAAGGUCUAAGAACUUCAAAAUUAUUAAGUUUACAGGAUAAACAAAGGAUAGUCUUACUACUGUAAGCCAAAUCUACCCUAGUUUUUAUUUUUUAUAUUGCAUACCAGAUAAGGAUUGCUUUAUAUAUAAGUGACUAAAAAACAACUUUAAAAAGUAUUUCAUGGUAUACAAGGAUUUUGUGGAACUCUAAUUUAAGCAUUCAUAAACUUUUUUGUACUAGUUAUUUGUUUAUGUAUUGUGGUUAAUCACUUUUGUCUUGAAAAGUUGGUUUAGGCUAUAUGACCCACAAAACCCAAUACACUUAGAAUGGAAAAAUAUGGUCACUAAAAACUUUGGAGUGAAGUUCAACAGAUAAAGGACCUCAGUACACUUGGAGAUCUUGUUAGAGUUUCAGAUGGUCUGGUCUUUCAGAACUAUUGAAUAACUCAGUGGCUGUUGAAUUGUGGUCUUUGGACAAGUUUUGAUUCAGAAACUCAGAGUGGAAUGUGGGAGUUUGUGGUUUCAUAGGCUGUCUCAUUAGUCUUGAUACAUGUGAAGAUUGAGCCCAAUUGGCCUAGUCCCUGGGAUGUGAACAGGUCAUAUUAUCCAACAUAGAAGAGAGGUGCUCGUGGGCUUCUGCACAGGGAUGAGCUGCAAAACUCAGUAUUUUGCUAACUGGUUUGCAUUCUUUACAAUAUCUUGGAGACAAGGAAGGCAUGCUCUCCCCCAUUUUAAAGAGAAAGGAACUGGAAUUCAUUCAGGAAAUAUAGCAAUUUGCACGGAAUUAUUGAAUUGGCUUUAAAAAUCAACCCUUCAGGCUUCCCUGCCCUCACUUUCUUAUCUUCUUUGAUUUGGACAAGCAGUCCUGGAAUCAAGCAGGAGCUAGCCUGGCAUAGUUUGUGUUGGGUUUCUCAUGAGGAAUGUAGACACUACACAGGAUAUGAAUAUCAGAGUCUAGUGAUGUAUCUCCAUGGCUAUAUGAAGAUCACCCUGACUAAAUCACCAACCAAAGAGUAUAGGACCCAUGGCUGCAGCUACAUAUGUAGCAGAGGAUGACCUUUUCUGGCAUCAGUGGGAGGGGAGGGAGUUAAUUAGAGAAUCCGAGCAAUGUCUGGCUUGGAACAAAGACUUGCCAGGGGGGAAAGUGAGCAGCGGCUCCUCACUGAAGAACAGAGCCAAGCGGGUGGCCCCCCGGGGUGAGGACAGACCUGGGCUAAAGUCCAGCCUCUCAUGCUGAUGCUUGCAUUUGCUUGGAGGGGCUCAGUUCAGCCAAAGCGCAUCCAGGCUCCAGACCCUGCACUGCAGCCGGCAGGUGGGUGUUCUGAGUUCAGAGCUGAGGGAGAAACAUCUGUUGGAGAACAGGAGACUUUGCAGGGUCCACGAAGAAGGGACACUCCCAAGGAACUUGCCCCGGAGAGAUAGCACUCCACCCGCUGAUGAUGCCAGGCUGGGCAGGGCUGUGUGAGCUAGUUUGCUGCCUGGGAAGCUCAAGUG
ensembl:antisense Gm20700 predicted gene 20700